CCCGGCCCCGCCCCACGCCGCGCCACGGCCCGCCGGGCCCCGCAAGGAGUUCGAGGGCUCCGAGGCUGCUCCCAUACGCACUGGUGGAAGGAGAGGCCGCGCUCCCGGCUGAGCACGGUGUCACGGGUGCUGCAGCCCACUGCGGAGCAACUUCGGGUCAUCUUCUUGUUACGUGGGGCCCCACCUUUGGGGUUCCCGCGACGGCAUGAAUCACGACCACCUUAGCUCCGCCCGUUGACUCUGCGGCUACGACCUUUAUUUGUCAGGAAAGGCGGGCUUUAGAGGCGCGGGACUUCCACACUUCCUCUCCGAAGGCCCUGCGCCGGUGCCGUAGCCAGUGACAGACCACGUUGUGUCCCAGCAGCCAAUCGGAAGGGCCUGAGUCUGAAGACGUGCACUUGACCGCUCCUCCUUCCGCGUUGGAGGCGGAAUAGUGGGUUUUGCUGCAACCGGUUCAUUUUCCUUCUGUUUUCACCCAUUCUGGCACAAUCCGGCGCCAUCGUCCUUCUUGUGAGGCCAAGCCUGAAAAUGCGAAGCAGAGAGGCAGGACCAAAAUUGAGGCGAAUCCGGGAACCUGCCAGUGGGUCUCCGGGUGCGGUCUCUGAAACUAGAGGAUAUCGGGAGGAAAGGCUCUCCGAUGCGGAGAUAAUGGGGAAGCUCUUGGCAUGGUUGGCUGUAGAUUACAGCCGAAAAGAUACAUAUUAAGGAACUGUACUCUCAGAGAUGUUGAGAAAAGAUACAUGGGACUUGGAAGAUAAUUACUCAAAAUGUGCAGGGAAGGAAUAAAAUUGAAGGGUGUUUUUCUUAGAGAACAUCAUUUGUCAUAUUUAUUUGAUCAAGAAGUUGAAGAUUUAUGUAAUAAGGUAUGGGACUUACACAUUUAUUUUGAUAAAAGGACACAGAAAAGGUCAGGUAUGAGCAGAAAAUUGACAUUUAUUUCAGCCUAAUGUGGAUACUGUACUCUGAAUUAAAAAUUUCUUUUCCUUACUCUUCCAGCUUUUAAAGAUAAGUAUUAUUUCAAAAUAGUAUUUUUUUAAUUAAUAGAUUCAAUUCAGGAAAGGCAUUGGAGGGGGUGGAGCUUUUAACUUUGACAGUCUCACUCUGUUGCCCAGGCUGGAGUGCAGCGGCACAAUCUCUGCUCACUGCAAUCUCUGCCUCCUGGGUUCAAAUAGUUAUUGUGGCUCAGCUUCCCAAGUGGCUGGGAUUAGAGGCGCAUGCCACCACACCCAGCUAAUUUUUUUUAUUAAGUAGAGACCAUGUUUUGCCAUGUUGGCCAGACUGGUCUCAAACUUCCAGCCACCUACCUCAGCCUCCCAAAGUGCUGGGAUUAUAGUCAUGAGCCACUACACCUGGCUGUUGGUUAUCUUUUCUUAGAAAUAAUGAUAUAAUCUUUUCAGCACCUGAUAUUCUUAAAGAUCCAGGGUUUACAAAUGACUGUUAGAUAUGCCAAGGAUGACUAUCCUAUAACUUAAGGAACUGUUCAGGAACAGUAGAAAAGAAGGUGAUAGGAAAUUGGGAAUCUUAAAUCUAAUACUAGUUCUGUCAUUAAUUAGGCUUGUUAUUAUAGGUAUUUCUCAAAUCUAAGAAAAUAUAAGGGGUCUUGAAAAAGUGCAUGGAAAAUGCAUAUCAUGAAAAAACUAUGCAUGGAUUUCAAAAUUUUUGGACCAAAAUAACCUCCUACUAACUUGUUAUAACAUGUCUGAACAGGAUCUAGCUUGAAGCACUAAGAAGAAGAUGACAUCAGUUUGAAAAGAGGCUGUAUCAGAAAAACACGAAUUCUGCUAAAAUUGAAGCAAGAACAAACAUCAAAUAUAUGUUGACACUUGGGUGGAAGAAUGGUGAACUAAUUGAUGCUUUAUGAAAAGUUGAUGGGGACAGUGCUCCAAAGAAAUCAGUUUACAAAUGGAUAACUCGUUUUAAGAAGGGAUAAGGUAACGCUGAAGAAGCCCACAGUGGCAGAUCAUCCACAUCAGUUUGUGAGAAAAAAGUUCAUGGCGUAAUUGAAGAAAACCAACAAUUAACAGCAGAAACAGCAGCCAACACCAUAGACAUCUCAGUUGGUUCACCUUACACAAUUUUGACUGGAAAAGUUCAGCAAACUUUAUACCUGAUAGGUACCAAAACCAUUGCACCCAGAUCAGCUACAGACAAGAACAGAGCUUUCAAUGGAAAUUUUAAAUAAGUGGGAUCAAGAUCUUGAAGCCUUUCAUUGAAAAAUUGUAACAGGAGAUGAAACAUGGCUUUACCAGUGCAAUCCUGAAGACAAAACACAAAACAAUGGUUACCAAGUAGUUCAGUGAAAGCACAAGAGGACUGGUUGAGCGCAAAGGUCAUGGCAACAGCUUUUGAAUGCUCAAGGCAUUUUGCUUGUUGACUUUCUGUAGGGCCAAAGAAUGAUAACGUGCUUAUCAUGGGAGUGUUUUGAGAAACUUAGCCAAAGCUUCAGCAGACAAAUCCCCGAGAAAGACCAGAGAGUUCACCACAACAAUGUUCCUGCUCAUCCCUCUCAUCAAGCAAGGGCAUUUUGCAAGAGUUUUGAUGGGAAAUCACUAGGCAUCCACCCUACAGUCCUGGUUUGGCACCUUCUGACUUUUUGUUUCCUAAUCUUGAAAAAAUUUUUAAGGGCAGUGCAUUUUUCUCAAGUUAAUGUAAAAAGAAACUGCAUUGAUGUAGAUAAAUUCCCAGAACUCUCAGUUCUUUAGGGAUGGACUAAAUAGCUGGUAUCAUCACUUACAAAAGUGUCUUGAAUGCUUUAGAGCUAAUGUUCAGAAAUAUAGUUUAUAUUUUUAUCUUUUAACCAUUUUUCCACAAACUUUUUGAAGUCUCCUUGAAAAGGAGACUAUGUACCAUUUAUAAAGGGGAAAAAUUCUGUGACUACUCAUGUUGACUUAAUGCUGACUUAAUUUUCUAUUUUGUAAAUAUAUACAAGUUGAUAACAAAUUUUGUUUAUAGCCCUUAACAAACAAAUUUGUGAAAUAAAUGCAUUCAGAAACAAACUAAAACAAUGAAA